UACGGGGGGGGUAAGCGUUGUUCGGAAUUACUGGGCGUAAAGAGCUCGUAGGUGGUUUGUCGCGUUGUUCGUGAAAACUCACAGCUCAACUGUGGGCGUGCGGGCGAUACGGGCAGACUUGAGUACUGCAGGGGAGACUGGAAUUCCUGGUGUAGCGGUGAAAUGCGCAGAUAUCAGGAGGAACACCAGCGGCGAAGGCGGCGCUCUGGGCCGGUACUGACGCUGAGGAGCGAAAGCGUGGGGAUCAAACAGG
rnacentral:rRNA from 1 species